rnacentral:rRNA from 1 species
UACGAAGGGGGGCUAGCGUUGCUCGGAAUCACUGGGCGUAAAGGGCGCGUAGGCGGCCAUUCAAGUCGGGGGGUGAAAGCCUGUGGCUCAACCACAGAAUUGCCUUCGAUACUGUUUGGCUUGAGUUUGGUAGAGGUUGGUGGAACUGCGAGUGUAGAGGUGAAAUUCGUAGAUAUUCGCAAGAACACCAGUGGCGAAGGCGGCCAACUGGACCAACACUGACGCUGAGGCGCGAAAGCGUGGGGGAGCAAACAGG